CCUACGGGUGGCAGCAGUAGGGAAUAUUGCUCAAUGGGGGAAACCCUGAAGCAGCAACGCCGCGUGGAGGAUGAAGGUUCUCGGAUUGUAAACUUCUUUUGUUAGAGAAGAUAAUGACGGUAUCUAACGAAUAAGCACCGGCUAACUCCGUGCCAGCAGCCGCGGUAAUACGGAGGGUGCAAGCGUUACUCGGAAUCACUGGGCGUAAAGAGCGCGUAGGCGGGAUAGCAAGUCAGAUGUGAAAUCCUAUGGCUUAACCAUAGAACUGCAUGUGAAACUGUUAGUCUAGAGUAUAGUAGAGGUAGGUGGAAUGCUUGGUGUAGGGGUAAAAUGCGUAGAGAUCAAGAAGAAUACUCAUUGCGAAGGCGACCUGCUAGAACAUAACUGACGCUGAUGCGCGAAAGCGUGGGGAGCAAACAGGAUUAGAUACCCGGGUAGUC
rnacentral:rRNA from 1 species